rnacentral:misc_RNA from 1 species
GAUGAAGAACGCAGCGAAAUGCGAUACGUAAUGUGAAUUGCAGAAUUCAGUGAAUCAUCGAAUCUUUGAACGCUCAUUGCGCCUGCCAGCACUCUGGCAGGCAUGCCUGUUCGAGCGUCAUUUCAACCAUCAAGCCCUAGGCUUGCGUUGGAGCCCUGCGGCUGCCGCAGGCCCCUAAAAGCAGUGGCGGGCUCGCUAUCACACCGAGUGCAGUAGAUUACUCUUCGCUCAGGGCGUGUGGCGGGUUCCAGCCGUGAAACCCCCUACUUCUCAAGGUUGACCUCGGAUCAGGUAGGAAUACCCGCUGAACUUAAGCAUAUCAAUAAGCGGAGGA